rnacentral:rRNA from 1 species
UACGUAGGUGGCAAGCGUUGUCCGGAUUUACUGGGCGUAAAGAGCGCGCAGGCGGUCGUUCAAGUCGCGUGUGAAAGCCCCCGGCUCAACUGGGGAGGGUCACGCGAUACUGAUCGACUGGAAGGCAGGAGAGGGUAGUGGAAUUCCCGGUGUAGUGGUGAAAUGCGUAGAUAUUGGGAGGAACACCGGUGGCGAAGGCGGCUACCUGGACCGGUUCUGACGCUGAUGCGCGAAAGCGUGGGGAGCAAACAGG